rnacentral:rRNA from 1 species
UACGAAGGGUGCAAGCAUUAAUCGGAUUUAUUGGGCGUAAAGGGCGCGUAGGCGGCCGUGUAAGUCAGGUGUGAAAUCCCGGGGCUCAACCUCGGAACAGCAUUUGAAACUGCGCGGCUAGAGGAUAGGCGGAGAAAACGGAAUUCCACAAGUAGCGGUGAAAUGCGUAGAUAUGUGGAAGAACACCGGUGGCGAAGGCGGUUUUCUAGCUUAUUCCUGACGCUAAAGCGCGAAAGUAAGGGGAUCAAACAGG